AUGCAGAUUUUCAUGAAAACCCUUAUGGGAAAGACCAUCACUCUUUGAGGGUUGAACCCUCAAAUACAAUAGAAAAUGUGAAAGCCGAGAUCCAGGAUCAGGAAGGAAUUCCUCCCGAUCAGCAGAGACUGAUCUUCACUGGCAAGCAACUGGAAGGUGGACAUACUUUGUCUGACUACAACAUUCAAAAGGAGUCUACUCUUCAUCUUGUGUUGAGACUUCCUGGUGGUGCUAAGAAAAGGGAGAAGUUUUACGCCACUCCCAGGAAGAAUAAGCAUAAGAGAAAGAAGGUUAAAAGCUUGACAUCCUGAAAUACUCUCUCUAAGGUGGAUGAGAAGGGCAACAUCAGUCACUUUCAGACGAAUGUGGCACUGGUGUUCUUAUGGCUAGCCACUUUAACAGAUGCUACUGGGGCAAAUGUCUGACCUACCGCUUCGACAGACCAGGGUACAAGUAA